rnacentral:rRNA from 1 species
CCCACCUGAACCCAUGCCGAACUCAGAAGUGAAACGCCGUAGCGCCGAUGGUAGUGUGGGGUCUCCCCAUGCGAGAGUAGGACACUGCCAGGCA